rnacentral:rRNA from 1 species
UACGUAGGGUGCAAGCGUUAAUCGGAAUUACUGGGCGUAAAGCGUGCGCAGGCGGUUGUGCAAGACAGAUGUGAAAUCCCCGGGCUCAACCUGGGAACUGCCUUUGUGACUGCAUAGCUAGAGUACGGUAGAGGGGGAUGGAAUUCCGCGUGUAGCAGUGAAAUGCGUAGAUAUGCGGAGGAACACCGAUGGCGAAGGCAAUCCCCUGGACCUGUACUGACGCUCAUGCACGAAAGCGUGGGGAGCAAACAGG